rfam:Ethanoligenens harbinense YTAN-3, complete genome.
AGAUAUGCGUUGAAGCGAGAGGUUGCCGCGUUUUCGCGGGUAAUUUUCGUGGAGUAUGUCCGAUUUUAAACCGGGCGGUAC